AUGCAUAUCCCUUCACUCUCGCAAUCCCAUAUGUAGAACAUGUUAUCUUUCUCCACCUCAUUUCUCCUGUUUCAAAUGUAAGAAUUUGAUGACCAAAUGGAUAAGCUAUGAACAAUACCAUGAAUUGCUUGUCAAACCGGAUCAAACCCAAAAAAGCUGAACGCCUAUCUGUAACUUUGCAGAUAAGGAUACAAGAAACGAGAACAACAGUGUAGAGGGAAGACCAGCGGCGACGUCUUCUAGGAUUUGGAGGAGGAUAGCUUUCUCCCCAAGGUUAAAAGUUUUUUCCAACAACAAGGUUUUUUUUUAUCAAUCCUAAUUGAGUGUUCUCUCUCUCUUGAGUGUUUCUUUCCAAGCACCCUGA